rnacentral:rRNA from 1 species
GACGAACGCUGGCGGCGUGCUUAACACAUGCAAGUCGAGCGGUAAGGCCUCUUCGGGGGUACACGAGCGGCGAACGGGUGAGUAACACGUGGGUGACCUGCCCUCAGCUCUGGGAUAAGCCUGGGAAACUGGGUCUAAUACCGGAUAUGACCUUUCCUCGCAUGGGGUUUGGUGGAAUGUUUUUUCGGCUGGGGAUGGGCCCGCGGCCUAUCAGCUUGUUGGUGGGGUGAUGGCCUACCAAGGCGACGACGGGUAGCCGGCCUGAGAGGGCGACCGGCCACGCGGGGACGGAGACACGGCCCAGACUCCGACGGGAGACAGCAGGGGGGAAUAUUGCGCGAGGGGCGGAAGCAUGACGCAGCGACGCGGGGGGGGGGAUGACGGCCGUCGUGUAGUAAGCCUCUGUCGGCCCCGACGAAUGUGUACGGUAGGGGUAGAAGAAGCAACGGCCAACUACGUG